GAUGAACGCUGGCGGCGUGCCUAAUACAUGCAAGUCGAGCGAACAGACGAGGAGCUUGCUCCUCUGACGUUAGCGGCGGACGGGUGAGUAACACGUGGAUAACCUACCUAUAAGACUGGGAUAACUUCGGGAAACCGGAGCUAAUACCGGAUAAUAUAUAGAACCGCAUGGUUCAAUAGUGAAAGACGGUUUUGCUGUCACUUAUAGAUGGAUCCGCGCCGCAUUAGCUAGUUGGUAAGGUAACGGCUUACCAAGGCAACGAUGCGUAGCCGACCUGAGAGGGUGAUCGGCCACACUGGAACUGAGACACGGUCCAGACUCCUACGGGAGGCAGCAGUAGGGAAUCUUCCGCAAUGGGCGAAAGCCUGACGGAGCAACGCCGCGUGAGUGAUGAAGGUCUUCGGAUCGUAAAACUCUGUUAUUAGGGAAGAACAAAUGUGUAAGUAACUGUGCACGUCUUGACGGUACCUAAUCAGAAAGCCACGGCUAACUACGUG
rnacentral:rRNA from 1 species